CUGUUACUUUUGCUAAAAAAAAUUAAUAACAGUUACAAUGACGGAGUGAAAGAAAAGACAAGCAAAGCCUAAAACUCGGGAAAUGUGAAGGGCAUCAAGUUGUUGGGCGGACAGAAGCGACGCAACCGUUUUUGUAUGUUUUCAUUGAUAAUUUGAGAGAAGAAUAAGUAGAGCUUCUGUUUGAGAGGAAAUGGGGGAUCCGAUUGGAAAAAUCUCUGCCCGUUAGCGGGGCUGGGAUCUUCUUCCACGGUGACUGGUUGAUUGCCUUCAAAAUGGGCAU